UACGUAGGGGGCAAGCGUUGUCCGGAAUUAUUGGGCGUAAAGGGCUCGUAGGCGGUUUGUCGCGUCGGGAGUGGAAUCCACUGGCUUAACUGGUGGCUUGCUUUCGAUACGGGCAGACUGGAGGUAUGCAGGGGAGAACGGAAUUCCUGGUGUAGCGGUGAAAUGCGCAGAUAUCAGGAGGAACACCGGUGGCGAAGGCGGUUCUCUGGGCAUGUCCUGACGCUGAGGAGCGAAAGUGUGGGGAGCGAACAGG
rnacentral:rRNA from 1 species